GAAAAAAGGUUUCGAAGACUCAGCGGAGCGUAUUCAGACUUCAGUUCCAGCGAAACCAAACCAAAAUUCGCCAAUGGAUCCCCCGCCUCCGGAGAUUAUUCCAACAGGUGCUCC
rnacentral:ribozyme from 1 species